rnacentral:rRNA from 1 species
GAUGAACGCUGGCGGCGUGCCUAAUACAUGCAAGUCGAACGCACAGCGAAAGGUGCUUGCACCUUUCAAGUGAGUGGCGAACGGGUGAGUAACACGUGGACAACCUGCCUCAAGGCUGGGGAUAACAUUUGGAAACAGAUGCUAAUACCGAAUAAAACUUAGUGUCGCAUGACACAAAGUUAAAAGGCGCUUCGGCGUCACCUAGAGAUGGAUCCGCGGUGCAUUAGUUAGUUGGUGGGGUAAAGGCCUACCAAGACAAUGAUGCGUAGCCGAGUUGAGAGACUGAUCGGCCACAUUGGGACUGAGACACGGCCCAAACUCCUACGGGAGGCUGCAGUAGGGAAUCUUCCACAAUGGGCGAAAGCCUGAUGGAGCAACGCCGCGUGUGUGAUGAAGGCUUUCGGGUCGUAAAGCACUGUUGUAUGGGAAGAACAGCUAGAAUAGGAAAUGAUUUUAGUUUGACGGUACCAUACCAGAAAGGGACGGCUAAAUACGUG